GUACUUACCUGGAAGGGGCAAAAUCAUGAUCAAGAAGGUGGUUCAUCCAAGGCGAAGGUCAACUAUUGCAUUCCAUCUGUGAAGCCACCAAAUGUUGGAAUCUCAAUUGCAUAAUUUCUUGAAUUUGGGGCUGCUCUCAU
ensembl:snRNA U1 U1 spliceosomal RNA